GGGGUGCAGCUACAGAUAGUCCAGACAGAACUCCCACCCUCAGGGAAGUGAGGGAUGGGGGAAAGGCUGCAAGGAGACAUACACUGGGACACUGGGAGACAUUAUGGCAGACACAGACACUAAGGGGCACUGGGAGACAUUAUGGCAGACACUGAGACACUAAGGGACAUUGGGAGACAUUAUGUUAGACACUGAGACACUAAGGGACAUUGGGAGACAUUAUGUCAGACACUGAGACACUAAGGGACACUGGGAGACAUUAUGGCAGACACUGAGACACUAAGGGGCACUGGGAGACAUUAUGGCAGACACUGAGACACUAAGGGACACUGGGAGACAUUAUGGCAGACACUGAGACACUAAAGGGCACUGGGAGACAUUAUGGCAGACACUGAGACACUAAGGGACAGUGGGAGACAUUAUGGCAGACACUGAGACACUAAGGGACAUUGGGAGACAUUAUGGCAGACACUGAGACACUGGGAGAUAUUAUUGCACACAAUGAGACACUAAGGGGCGUUGGGAGACAUUAUGGCAGACACUGAGACACUAAGGGGCACUGGGAGACAUUAUGGCAGACACUGAGACACUAAGGGGCAUUGGGAGACAUUAUGGCAGACACUGAGACACUAAGGGACAUUGGGAGACAUUAUGACAGACACUGAGACACUAAGGGACACUGGGAGACAUUAUGGCAGACACU